rnacentral:rRNA from 1 species
AUUGAACGCUGGCGGCAUGCCUUACACAUGCAAGUCGAACGGCAGCACGGGAGCAAUCCUGGUGGCGAGUGGCGAACGGGUGAGUAAUAUAUCGGAACGUGCCCAGUAGUGGGGGAUAACUGCUCGAAAGAGCAGCUAAUACCGCAUACGACCUGAGGGUGAAAGGGGGGGCUCGCAAGACCUCUCGCUAUUGGAGCGGCCGAAAUCAGAUUAGCUAGUUGGUGGGGUAAAGGCCUACCAAGGCAACGAUCUGUAGUUGGUCUGAGAGGACGACCAGCCACACUGGGACUGAGACACGGCCCAGACUCCUACGGGAGGCAGCAGUGGGGAAUUUUGGACAAUGGGCGCAAGCCUGAUCCAGCAAUGCCGCGUGCAGGAAGAAGGCCUUCGGGUUGUAAACUGCUUUUGUCAGGGAAGAAAUCCUCUAGGUUAAUACCCUUGGGGGGAUGACGGUACCUGAAGAAUAAGCACCGGCUAACUACGUGCCAGCAGCCGCCGUAAAAC